rnacentral:rRNA from 1 species
GAUUAACGCUGGCGGCGUGCAUAACACAUGCAAGUCGAACGAUGAAACUUAAAUGAUUUCUUCGGAAUGAACUUAAGUGGAUUAGUGGCGGACGGGUGGGUAACGCGUGAGUAACCUGCCUUACACAAGGGGAUAGCCGUUGGAAACGACGAAUAAUACCCUAUGAAACUAUCACUUCGCAUGAAGCGAUAGUCAAAGUGUUAGCGGUGUAAGAUGGACUUGCGUCUGAUUAGCUAGUUGGUGAGAAAAAAGCCCACCAAGGCAACGAUCAGUAGCCGGCUUGAGAGAGUGUACGGCCACAUUGGGACUGAGACACGGCCCAGACUCCUACGGGAGGCAGCAGUGGGGAAUUUUGCACAAUGGGGGAAACCCUGAUGCAGCGACGCCGCGUGAUUUAGAAGGCCUUCGGGUUGUAAAAAUCUUUUGUAUAGGAAGAAAAUGACAGUACUAUACGAAUAAGGUCCGGCUAAUUACGUG